CCUACGGGAGGCAGCAGGAGGGAAUAUUGCUCAAUGGGGGAAACCCGGAAGCAGCAAAGCCGCGUGGAGGAUGAAGGUUUUCGGAUUGUAAACUCCUUUUGUUAGAGAAGACAAUGACGGUAUCUAACGAAUAAUCACCGGCUAACUCCGGUCCAGCAGCCGCGGUAAUACGGAGGGCGCAAGCGUUACUCGGAAGCACUGGGCGUAAAGGGCGCGUAGGCGGGAUAGCAAGUCAGAUGUGAAAUCCUCUGGCUUAACCGUAGAACUGCAUUUGAAACUGUUAUUCUAGAGUAUGGGAGAGGUAGGUGGAAUUCUUGGUGUAGAGGUGAAAUCCGUAGAGAUCACGAGGAAUACUCAUUGCGAAGGCGACCUGCUAGAACAUAACUGACGCUGAUGCGCGAAAGCGUGGGGAGCAAACAGGAUUAGAUACCCCGGUAGUC
rnacentral:rRNA from 1 species